rnacentral:lncRNA from 1 species
CGCCGCCGCCGCCGCCACCGCCCCCGCCCCCCCCACCACAUCCGCCGCCGCCACCACAUCCGCCCCCGUCGCCACAUCCGCCGCCGCCGCCGCCACCGCCACCGUCGCCCCCACCGCCACCGCCGCCGCUAGAGCGGCCGCGACGCUUGUUCUUCGUACCGUGGCCACCAUCACCACACGCGAAGAGGAUGGUUGGAAUGAUAGAGAGAGAGGCCACCACCAUGCAGAAGAGAAAGAGAGCCCCAGUGACUACGUAGGUUGAGCCGCCGCCGCUGCCAUGGGCCAUCAACAAGGCCCUAGCCAUCGUUCUUCCCUUCUUAUCGUCACAUCGGAUAGACAGGAGGAUAGGACCUUAUAUAGUUUCGAACGCGCUGGCGUAUAAUCUGAAACGGAUAUAAAAUAUUUCGUGUUGG